AUUUACUGAAGAUUGAGUUGACUCGUUUAGUAAUAAUGAUUUAACAUGGACUACCACCACCUUUUCCAAGCACCAUAACCACUACAGCAUGCUGCUGAUGUGACGAAAGACGUUAAAGUUUGACUACAUAAUGGGGAGAAGGUGGUGUUGCCAGGGUACUGUUUACCAGCUAAUGAAAGUUCUGUUCCCUAACUAGAACUUACAGAGCUAAUCACCUCCUUGGGGAUAGUGAUGUUACCAAUAAACAGACUGGAGCACUAGAUGGAAUAGGUACAGCGCUACGGAAUUUGCUGGCGCUAUAUAACUAAUAGGUGGCAGAAUACUGGGAAUUUCACUUGUUUUAGAUUUGCCCAUUUUAAACAAUUUAAUGACAUUGUGUGGAUAAAGGGUGGGCACAGGCCGCUAUUUGUGCAACUCAGGUUUAGGGUGUAAGUAUCAGUUCAC